GAUGAACGCUGGCGGCGUGCCUAAUACAUGCAAGUCGAGCGAACAGACGAGGAGCUUGCUCCUCUGACGUUAGCGGCGGACGGGUGAGUAACACGUGGAUAACCUACCUAUAAUACUGGUAUAACUUCGGGAAACCGGAGCUAAUACCGUAUAAUAUAUUGAACCGCAUGGUUCAAUAGUGAGAUACGGUUUUGCUGUCACUUAUAGAUGGAUCCGCGCCGCAUUAGAUAGUUGGUAAGGUAACGGCUUACCAAGGCAACGAUGCGUAGCCGAACUGAGAGGGGGAUAGGCCACCCGGGAAGUGAGACACGGUCCAGAGUCCUAAGGGAGGCAGCAGUAGGGAAUCUUCCGCAAUGGGCGAAAGCAUGACGGAACAACGCCGAGUGAGUGAUGAAGGUCUUCGGAUCGUAAAACUCUGUUAUUAGGGAAGAACAAAUGUGUAAGUAAAUAUGCACGUCUUGACGGUAACUAAUAAGAAAGCCACGGCUAACUACGUG
rnacentral:rRNA from 1 species